UUUGUGUCUAAAAUGUAAGUUUCAGUUAUCUUUUUAAGGAUAAGAAGGUGACACUUGUUUAUAUUAAACUUUAAGAGCUUGUUUGGUUCAUCCAUUUUAAAUUCUGGAAUCGAAAAAAGAUUCAUUGAUUUCGAUAAAUGUUGUUUGUGUUACAAGAAUCAGAUUCUGAUUUCUAUUAUGCUCUAGAAUGAGAAUGCUUGAUUCAUUUAUAGCGCAACCAGCUUGUUUGGUUCAUCCAUUUUAAAUUCUGGAAUCGGAAAAAGAUUCAUUAAUUUCGAUAAAUGUUGUUUGUGUUAUAAGAAUCAGAUUCUGAUUUCUAUUAUGCUCUAGAAUGAGAAUGCUUGAUUCAUUUAUAGCGCAACCUAGUUUUGGAUUCUAUAAUGGCCUAUUACAAAGUAAAUCACUCAAAACCCUCUCACAACCAUCUCUCCUUCUCUCCUCUCAUCACUCUCCUAUCUUUUAACUAAAACUCCUCUCUCAAAGUCCCGGGAAUCCCAAUUAUUCAUUCCGAUUUCCAUUCCAAUAAUAAACCUGUUGGAAAAUCUUUAUGAUAUUUUAUUACAAUAUUCUUUAGAAACCAAUUCGAAAAUUUAAUUUCAGGUUUAGGUAGUAUCCUUGUUUUAUUUAUUAAUUAAUUAAUUUACUUAUUGAUUUUUUAAAU
rnacentral:lncRNA from 1 species